rnacentral:rRNA from 3 species
CCAAGGGUAUGGCUGUUCGCCAUUUAAAGUGGUACGCGAGCUGGGUUUAGAACGUCGUGAGACAGUUCGGUCCCUAUCUGCCGUGGGCGCUGGAGAACUGAGGGGGGCUGCUCCUAGUACGAGAGGACCGGAGUGGACGCAUCACUGGUGUUCGGGUUGUCAUGCCAAUGGCACUGCCCGGUAGCUAAAUGCGGAAGAGAUAAGUGCUGAAAGCAUCUAAGCACGAAACUUGCCCCGAGAUGAGUUCUCCCUGAGACUUAGAGUCUCCUGAAGGAACGUUGAAGACGACGACGUUGAUAGGCCGGGUGUGUAAGCGCAGCGAUGCGUUGAGCUAACCGGUACUAAUGAACCGUGAGGCUUAACCUUACAACGCCGAAG